UCCGCUUUAAAUCGCGGGUCGUUGCUAGGGGCGCUUGGAGCCGGAGGUUUGUGGGGACAGUUUUUAUCCGGGGGGUGUGAACCGCCCUAAGACUGGCAAUCGAAGACCUUGUACGGAGAGUUGGGUGCCUGAACUCUGGUUUGAUAGGCUCCUUGCUGGCUCCAGUAAUCCGCACCAGAGUACGUUGGGCUCGUUUUUCUCCGCGCCAUGUACUCGCCCACCCUUGCGCGGGAUUCCGGGCUCUUCCGGCUCUGGCGCGGUCUUCAAGGCUCUGGGUGGAGGGCUCCAGGACUCGCCGUCGGUGGUGAUGCGACGCGCUACAGUGGGUGUGAGCGCGCGCUGUGGGCGAGUCCAUUCGCUUCUGACUAGCUUGCCUAUCGCGUGGUCCGUUUGAGGAAAGUUGGUGCGUUUUAGUCAGGGAAGAAGUCUGCAAGUUGCCGCCUGGUCAAGGGAUGCAAGGUGCUCUGCAGCCCCGACUAAUACCAGGUAUGGCGGUGAAUGUCUCACGAAAUCACUUGAAGUGGAAUCUCCUCUGGGUGGAGUUUGGUUGGUUGGUUUGGGUUUUUUUUAUAAACUUGACAAAAGUUUGUUGGUCACAACUUUUUUAGGUGACAUACUGAGAGAUGAGAAGGACUGUUUCUUCCUGGACCAAUGCAGAUCACUUGGACAUUAGUUAAAGUUCUGCAAAUGGUGGAGAAAAGGAACAGUCCUUUAAAAAAAAAAAAACUAAAAAAAUUUUUAAAAAAGAGUUCCGCAUUCACCCACAAAAUGAGAGUUCUCAAAUAUCUUGGUACUUUUUUGCACAUUUUUUCAAAGAAAGAAAAAUGACCCCCUAAUUGAAAGCUGCUGUAAGCAUCUUAAGAGAUGAAACACAGAGGUCUUAAUAUAUUACAAUUAAGUACCAAUAGAUUAGAAGCCUUGUCAUUCCACUGCAAGUAAAUGAAAUAGUUUGAUAAAGUUAAUACCCCAACAAAUAUUGAAAAUACUCAGAUUUGUUAAUGAUUGUCCUGCAUUAUUACCUUGUGUCAGACAUUCCUGGGUGCAUGGCAAAAAAUAUACUUAUGUGGAGAAUUUUGUAAGUGAUUUCAAAUCAAUCUAUAAUCCAGGUCCCUUUGCUCUUUCUAGAUAUCAUGUUCCCUAAAUCCAUCUAUCUACUUUUAUCUCUAGUAGCUAUAAUUUGUUAUUUAUAUAAACAGACAUUUUAGAUUUGGCUGCUUCACCUUAUGAUUUUUUUUAUAGUCAUUACAAAAUGAAGUCAUUUAUUCUAUUCCUUAUAUGAAGCUUUAAAAUAAGCAAAUAUUUUUCACCAAGGAUAUUGAGAGAUUCAACUAGCUUGUUUUUUUGCAGGCCUCUUAAGAAAUACUAAUUGGCUAGUCCUGGCCUACCUGACUGAGCAUGGCAGGGGUACUAAUACAGCUUCAUUGUUGGACUAUUUGGGACUCAUCUGAUGGGCAGCAAUGGCUUGUGGCAUACUAGCUGAAAUUCUUAGAACUGUGCUGCAGUUUGAGACACUGCCUACUCAGUCCUUUCUUUUUACUCUCCUUCAGAACUCUAUCACAGUUUACACACUUUCCCACCUUCUCUUCCCUCCCCUUUUGUCUUUCAUAGACAUUUUUUCUAAGAAAUCUUCUGCAUGUCAUUGUCGGCCAAAUUGUGUUCUCCCCAAAGUUCAUAUGUUGAAACCCUAACCACCCAAUAACUCAGAAUGUGACUGUAUUUGAAAAUACAUCCUUUAAAGAGGCUGUGAAGUUAAAAUGAAACCCUUUGGGUGAACCCUAGUCCAGUCUGACUGGUAUCCUUAUGAGAAGAGGAAACUGUACUCACAGAGAUACUCGGGGUGUGGUGCAGAGGAAGGGCUAUGUGAGGACACAGCAAGAGCAUGGCCAUCUGUAAGCCAAGGGAUAGGCCUCAGAAGAAGCCAAACCUAUUCAUCUCUUGAUUUUGGACUUCUAGGCUCUCCAGAACUGUAAGAAAUAAAUUUCUGUUGUUUAAGGUACCCAGUCCUUGAUAGUUUGUUAUGGCAGCCCUAACUAAUACACAUGCCAGAUCCCACCUUGCAACUGCUCAGAGGAUCCAAACUAACACAAGUGGUGCCAGGAAAGGUUCAAAACACAAAAACAACAACUAAAAAGGUUCAAAACACAAAAACAACAACUAAAAAACCCAAAACAAAAACAAAAGCUAGAUAAUAAAAUGAGGUUUCAGGACCAGUUCGCUCACUAGCUGGUGGGCAGAGAGAAUAUUAUCCUGAGUAGUAUUGGGGCAUGGGUAGUCCCAGCACAAGGUGGUGACCCAGCUGCUAAAGAUUUCAUCAGCAGUGACCUGGGAAAGCAUCCCAAUGGAGGAGAAAGAGAAGAAUACAAUUUCAGGCAUUUGAAAUAUAUAGGGGUGGGGGUGGGCAGUACCUUCGUGGACAGUGGAGUUGGCUGGUCACUGCUAAGUUGUAUUAACACUCAGGAGGGAUAAGGAAAAAGCAAAGGUCCCCCUUGGUUACUGACCAAGUAUGAGAGACAGAGGACCUCUUUUAGUAAUUUACAAAGAGGAUUUUAUUUCCUGUUGUGGAAGAGCUGAAACAGCUAUGCCACAGACUCAGGACACGUUAGAAGCACAAGAGUCCCAGAGACAUUAAAAUGUGUGGCCAAAGCAGGUUAGGGCCCUGGUUGUGGAAACCUGAAACAAGGUAUGGGACAUCUGUAUGUACAACUGUAAGGAUGUUAGCUCUGCAGACCCUCGUGAACUUUCAAAGCUUGCAGAGAUGGGCUACCUCUACAUAGUAAGAACUAGUAAUUCCCCAAGUUGAAAGACACUGCAGAGCCAUUCCUUCUCCCCUGGCUGCCAUGCUAAUAACUAGAGUCAAAUCCUAGCAUAACCCAGCUAAAAACAUGCCUGACCUGAUAAAGGAGAAAAGAGAUCAUAUACAAAGGAGCUGUAAGAAUUAGCUAGCAUACACAAAGAAGUCAGGGAAGUACCCUGCAAUUGAGUUUUAAGGUUACUUGAUAAUGGGAGCUGGAAUAUUAGACAUAGAUAAUCAAGAAUUUAUUGACUUAGGAGCACUUUCUUGAGUCAGGACUUAACACCCUGGCAAGAACUUCUAGGGAUAAAACAACUCACUGUUGGGGUAUCUUAGAAACCUAAAGAAAGUGAUGGCCAAUGCUGUGCAAAGUAGAAAUGUUAGGGUUGCCCAGGCUUAUAUGGUAGAAGAAUGAAUUAAAAGACUGGGGGAUGUGGACAUGCUGGAAUGGAUAUGUGUGAGGUCAGAAGUUCCAUCAAAGGGUUAUGUUUCACAGGAGAGCCCAGAAGAUAACACAAGAAGGCCUGAUAAGGGGCAACAGCACCAAGAAGUUCUCUGCAGUCCUGAGCUAAUAAUAGCAGUCACAGAGUUAUGGUUCAUUAAUAACUGGGGAAAAAAUUCCGCUUCCCCAAUUAGUAUAGGCCAGAUGGUGACAAUCACUAGAAACCAGGAGGCCACAAUUAUAAAGACCAGCAACAUCUGACGAGUGGCAGCCAAACUCACAGGGAGUUGUGGAGAUGGAUGUAGAGCUUGACAUCUGUAAGGGUGAAAUAGAUGAGAAGACUAUUAACAUCUAUAACCCCAAAGGGCCAAAAUGGAAGAGCAGAAUACUGAGGGUGAUUCCACCCAAAAAUCAUUAUCCCUUGCUCAGUGUCCAGAUCUGAGCCACUUUUUAGAUCUGGAAAUCAUUGACUUAGAGAUGGCAGAUCUUGCUUCAGUGCAGUAGGUAUAAAUGUAAUGAUUCCCCGGUCCUUUCCCAAAGAUACCUGUAGCUAUUUAUUUUAGUGAUUACACAGUGGGGAAGAGGAGUAACCAGAAAAUUUGAGACUCAGGGCCUGAAUUGACAGUAUCUUGAGACCCAAGCAUUAUCACGGUGUCUUGUUAGAAUGGAGGCAAUUGGGGACCGGUAGUAAAUGGGGUUCUGAGUAAAGUCUAGCUUACAGUAAGUAGGUCAUUGUGUCUGUGGACCCACCCAGUGGUCAUUUCUCCAGUUCCUGAGUAUAUAAUUGGAAUUGAUACACCCAGUGACUGCAGUAAUACCAAUGUUAAAUCCUUGACGUGUGUGAAGGGAGAGCUGUUAGUGGAAACAUCUGAAAAUGGCCUUCCACCCUGGCCGACAUAGUAAAUUAAAAAACAAAAAUAUCAAUCCGAAGGGGUGUGGUGGAAAUUAGUGCUACCAUAAAAGACCUAAAGAAUUGGGGGGAAAUGGAAGAUGGUCCCUGUCAUAUCUCCAUUUAAUUAGCCUGUGUGUCCCCUGCAGUAAGUAGGUAGAUUGCAGAGAAUGGCUGUAGACUACCAUAGGCUUCAGCAGAUAAGAACCCCAAUGCACAUGCUAUGUUUGAUAUGGUCUUAUUGCUGGAGCAGAGUAAUAAGGCAUCAGGACACGAUGUGUGGCCAGUGUUUUAUUCAAUGAAUUAUCUUCCAUUCUGAUUAGGAGAGAGCAUCAGAAUGGAUUCACAUACAUUUGGGACAGAUAACUUUUCACUUACAGUAUUGGUUAGCUCUGCCUUCUGUCAUAAUAAAGCCCAAAGAAAUCUGAUCCUCCUGGCCAUCCCAGAGUAAUCACUUUGACCCACUGCAUCAGUGACAUCGUGCUGCUCAGAUGGCACAAGCAAGGGGUGGCUUGUGUGCUGAAGGCAUUGGUAAGACCCAUGCUCCAGAGAGUAGAAGAAAAAUGCUUUAAAGAUUCAAGGGCUGGCCACUUUAGUUAUGUUUUUAAGGGUCAGCAGGUCAGAAGUAUAUCAGUAUAGCCCUCCAAAGUCAAAGACAAAUUGUUACAUCUUACAUCCCCUACCACAAAGAAGAAUGCACAGGGCUUGGUAUGUCUAUGUUCUGGAGCAGUACAUACCACACUUAGGAAUACUACUAUAGCCCAUUUACCAGGUGACAGUGAAGGUUUUCCAGCCUUGGAGCCCAGAGCAGGUAAACUUCAAGCUAUAGUACAAGCAUCUGUGCCGUGUAUUUCUGUAAAAUCUUGGAGGUGUUACAGUGGGAAAAGAAGUUUGGAGCUUGUGAUAGUUAAUUUUAUGUCAACUUGACAGGGCCAUGGGGUACCCAGGUAUUUGGUCAAACAUUAUUCUGGGUAUGUUUGUGGGUGUGUUUCUGGAUCAGAUAAAUACUGGAUUGAUAGAAUGAGUAAAGCAGAUUGCCAUUCUUAAUGUAAGCGGGCCUCAUUCAAUCAAUUAAAGAUGUGAAUAGAACAAAAAGACUGACUAAGAACUCCUUCAGGCUUGGACUGAAAUAUCAGCUCUUCGUCGAUCUUGAACCUGCCAACUUUUCAUACUGGAACUUAAAUCAUUGGCCCUCCUAGUUCUCAGGCCUUUGGUUCAGACUGGAACUACACAUCAGCUCACCUGGGUCUCCAGCUUGAUUACUGCAGAUCUUGGGACCUGCCUCCAUAAUCAUGAAGAGUGGCCAUGUGGGAACCAUGGAAGAGCUUCUCCCCAAACCUGAAUGGAGAAAUAAUGAUUUUUUUUUUUAAGAUUUUAUUUAUCCAUUUGACAGAGAGAGUACAAGCCAUGAACAGCUUGUACAGGCAGAGGGAGAGAGAGAAGCAGGCUCUCUGCUGAGCAAGGAGCCUGAUGCGGAACUGGAUCCCAGGACCCUGGGAUCAUGACCCGAGCCAAAGGCAGACGCUUAACCAACUGAGACACCCAUGCACCCCAAGAAAUGAUUUUUUUUUUUUAAGAUUUAUUUAUUUAUUUAUUUAUUUAUUUAUCUGAAGAGUGCAAGCAGGGGGAGGGAUGGGGCCAGAGGAAGAGAGAGAGAAAUUCUCAAGCAGACUUCCCAUUGGAUGCAGAAUGCAGGGCCCUACACUCGAUCCUAGGACCCUGAGAUCAUGACCUAAGCUGAAAUCAAGAGUCGACCACUUAACCGACUGAGUCACUACGGCGCUCCUUGAAUGAAGAAAUAGAUCUUUGGAGCAAAGGAGUUGAAUUGUGAUUCUGAAAAUGGGCCACUGGAUUCCCUUUUAUGCAAAACAGUUAAUUGUGGCCCCAACUACUGACCUGGAUCCACCAAUAUGUUCACAACUGAGGCCAUUCUCACAACUCAUUCUUAGCUAAAGACUGAGCAUCAUGGGCUGGUAUAUCAGGCUCAUUCCUUUCAGACUUGGGAUUCCACUAAUGUGCCGCUUUGGCUAUAGAACUACCCACAGGAUUUAGAGCUCACAGGGAAAUUUAGAGAAAGAAACAGCAAAUUUAUGCAAAGGAAGCUUAAAAAGGAAAUAAAGAUAAAAUCAGAAAUCAAUAAACUAGAAAGCAGAUAUAGAAGAGCCAAUGCUCAUUAAUCAACAGUCAACAAAGCCAAAACGUAUUAAUCUUCAAAAGGACUAAAAAGAUAAUCAACUCCUAGCAAGACCAAUCAAGGAAGAGUGCAAAAAGCACAUUACCAAUAUCAGCAAUAAAAAGGGGAUCAUUAGUACAGGCCCCAUAGACAAUAAAAAUGAGGAUAUUAUAAGCAACUUUUUUUUAAAGAUUUUAUUUAUUUAUUUGACAGAGAGAGAGAUCACAAGUAGGCAGAGAGGCAGGCAGAGGGGAAGGGGAAAGCAGGCCCCUCGCAGAGAAGAGAGCCCAAUGCAGGGUUGGAUCCCAGGAUCCUGGGACCAUGACCUGAUCCGAAAGCAGAGACUUAACCCACUGAGUCACCCAGGUGCCCCAUAAACAACUUUUUACCAAUAAAUUUGACAAUGUGGAUUAAAUGGAAAAUUUUCUUGAGAACUAAAACUAAACAAUAAUAAAUAGAAAAUUCUGUAUUUUAUAUUUUAAAGAAAUUGAAUUCAUAAUUUAAAAUCUUUCUACAAAGAAAACUCCAGAUGGCUUCACUGGUGAAUUCUUUCCAACAUGUAUAUUUCUUUUAGAAAGUCAUAAAAUGCGUAUUGACACUUUCUAAUGCUUACAUAUUACACAUUCUAUUCAUGGAUUAACUUCCCCCUGCUUCAUGCAUCAUUUAUUUAGCACCUACUAUGUGUUAUGUUAAGAGUUGUACAUAAAAAGAUGAAUAAAGUUUUUGGCAGAGGGAAACUUCAGGCUGAUGGAAGACUACAUAUAAUCUAAAUGCAGUGAAAUAAAUGCUAAUAAAGAUUUGCAUAAAGUGCUAUGAGAGAUGGGUAUGAAUCCAGGGAAGGGAAGGCUUUCCAGGCUUGAGAGAUGGAACAAUGUGCCAUGUACUGUGAGCAUAAAAAUAGCUGGCAAGGGGCACCUGGGUGUCUCAGUUGUUGAGUGUCUGCCUUAGGCUCAGGUCAUGAUCCCCGGGUCCUGGGAUUGAAUUCCGCGUCGGGCUCCCUGCUCAGCGCAGAGCCCGUUUCUCCCUCUCCCACUCCUGCUUGUGCUCAUGUUCCCGCUCUUGCUGUCUUUCUCUGUCAAAUAACAUCUUUAAAAAAAAAAAAUAGCUUAUAAAUAAGAGGACAUUCCUUCUCAGUAUUCCUUAAUGGGUCUUCUCCCCUUCUUCCCUUAAAUUUGUUGGUACCUCUGGGUUCUGUCUUUGGCUUCCGUUUUUCACUCUCCCCAAACAACUUACUCACUCUGACAUUUGUCCCUUUCAUAUAUGUUAAUCAUUUCAAAAUUAUAUCUCCAGUCUCUACUUCUUUCUUGAUCUCUAUGCGUAAAUAUCCAAGUGUCUAGAGAACUCACCUGCUCAAGAACUUUGACCUGCACUUAUUUUCCCCUCUCUCCUACAUCACCAUUUUUCUCUCCCUUCUUAAAAAAACAAAACUUCUCCCUUGAUAGCAUGUCUGUUCCACUACUGCAUUAUUUCUCUGUUCCCUUUAUAUGGUGGUACUUCUCUCUCUCUUUCUUUCUUUUUUUCUUUCCUUCUUUUGAGCUAUCAACUGUAUCUUAACCUUUAUGAGACAGAAAAUGUUUUAUGAGCCUUUUAUCCCUAUCACUCUUCUGAGACUUCUCUUAUCACCAGUAACCUUCAUAUUGCCAAAUCCAGUUCUCAACUUACUUGACCCAAGAGUAGCUUGGCCAGUUGAUCAUUUCCUCUUUCUUGAAAAACUGUCAUUACCUGGCUUUCAUCCUCUACUGAUUUACUUCUCAUCUCAUUAGCCACUCCUUAAUUUCUUUGUUGGCUCGUCUUUCUCUUAACCUUUAAGUAUUGGAGUAUUCUAGUUCCAUCCUUGGACUUCCAUUCAGUUUUUGCUUAAAUUCAUCAUAGCAAAUCUUAACUAAUUCUAUCAUCUUAAAUGUCAUCUAUAUGCUAAUGAUUCUGAAAAUUAUAUCUGAGGGCUCAGCCUCUCCCCUCAAUUCGAGAUUCCUGUCUCUACUAGCUACUUGAACAUCUAACAGUAUUCCAAACUAAACAUGUCUAAAGCAAUUCUUGCAUUUAUCAAACCUAAGUCCCUUCACUCUUCUCCAUCUCAGUAAUUGGCUCUAUGAUUCAUCCUGAUGCUCAAGCCAGAAAUGUUGGGAUCAUUGUUGAUUCUUCUCUACCAUCAUUCAAUUCAUCAACAUGUUACAUCAGUUCUGCCUUCAAAACAUAUCCCAAUUCUACCAGUUCUCACCACCUUGAUCACUUCUACUCUAGCCCAAACCACCAUCAUCUUUCACCUAGAUCCCUUCCUAACUGGCUACCUAGCUUCCACACUUCCCUCACAAUAGUGUAUUGGGAAUGAUCCUUUUACAGUGGAAGUUGGAAUAUGCCACUCCCCUGUUCAAAACCUUCCAGUGAUUUUCAUUACACUAAAAUAAAAUCCAGGGCGCCUGGGUGGCUCAGUCAGGUAAGCAUCUAACUUCAGCUCAGGUCGUGAUCUCAGGGUCCUGGGAUCAAGCCCCACAUCAGACUUCCUGCUAAGUGGGGAGUCUGCUUCUCCCUCUGCCCCUCCACCUGCUUGCGCUUGCUCUCUCUCUCUUUCUCAUUAAUAAAUUUAAAAAAAUCUUAAAAAAAAAAACAAAGUUCUUUCCAUUAUGUACGAGGCAUUCAUUAUCUGAUCUCUUGCUAUAUUCCAACUUUAUCUUCUUCCACUCUCCCCUUUUUUUCUGCUUUAGCCAUAGUAGUCUUUUUUUUUUUUUUAAGAUUUUAUUUAUUUAUUUGACAGAGAGAGAUCACAAGUAGGCAGAGAGGCAGGCAGAGAGAGAGAGGAGGAAGCAGGCUCCCUGCUGAGCAGAGAGCCCGAUGCGGGACUCGAUCCCAGGACCCUGAGAUCAUGACCUGAGCCGAAGGCAGCGGCUUAACCCACCGAGCCACCCAGGUGCCCCAGCCAUAGUAGUCUUAUUAUUGUUCUUCAAACAUAUCCCAUCUCUGGACAUUUGCACCUAUAAUUUUCUCUCCUUGAAUAGUCUUUCUUCAAAUAUUCACAUGGCUCAUUUCUGUUCAAAUAUGACCUCCUUGUAAGGACUGCUCUAUAACCUAUUCUCACCUUCAUUUGUUAUGAUUUUACUCUGCUCUAUUUCCUUUCACAGCCUGUAAUACUACAAGGGAUCAUAUCAUGUAUGCAUUUGUUUAUUGGACAUUAUCUGUCUUCCAUUCUAGAAUGCAAACUUUGUACGGACAAGGAAUUUACCUGUUUUGUUCAGUCACCAAGUCCUAUCAAUUCUACCUCUUAAAUACAUCUUCAACCCACCUUCCCUAUUCCCACUACCUUUGCCUUUAUUCAGUUGCCAUCAUCAUUGGCUGGGACUAUUAUAGUAUUCUCCUCCUCGACAUUUUGCCUUCACCUUCAUUUAUCUAGGCCUUCUUCUCAAAGUGCUACCAAUUUGAUAGCACUAUUCAUGCCUGUCCAUAAAACUCUUCAUAAGGGACACACUCUUUGCAUUUUGGACAAACUUCAAGCCCCUUAACACAGCAUCCAAGGUGCCUUCUGCCACCUUCUUGCUAUAACUCUCUAAUAGUACCAAAUUUCUUGUAUCUCCUCAUGUCCUUGUGUCUGUCUUUUUUGUUUGUUUUUGUUUUUGUUUUUGUUUUAAAGAUUUAUUUAUUUAUUUAUUUGACAGAGAUCACAGGUAUAGGCAGAGAGGCAGGGGGGUUGUGGGGGAAGCAAGCUCCCUGCUGAUCAAAGAGCCCGAUGUGGGGCUGGAUCUCAGGACCAUGGGAUCAUGACCUGAGCUGAAGACAGAGCCUUUAACCCACUGAGCCACCCAGGUGCCCCCCUUUCUUGAUUCUUCUAUUUAAGUGCCCUCUCUUAACUUUCAGAGAUAGAUAAAUAUUUCUUCCCUGUGGCCAUACUUCUAUUGCAUUUAUUGUAAAGCAGUGAAUUUGUUUGCAUAUAUGCAUGUCUCUUAUUAAACUGAACUUCUUAAAGGAAGAGAGGUGUUCCCAGGGUAUAGCUCCUGUCACACAGUAAGAGAUGUAUGGAGGUGGGAUUAGGGCAUGGAGAAUGUUGUAGAAGGAACCAUGUGUAUGAAUACUCUGAGACAUAAGAGAGCUUGGCAUCUUCAGAGAAGAGAGAAAGCUAGUGUAACUGGCCCAGUGAAUGAGGGCCUGUGACAGAAGAACAAGCUAGAAAGAUUGUGGGAACCACAUCAUGCAAAGUCCCUGUUGGAUAUGGUAAGGAUCUCAGACAUUAUCCUAAGAGAAAUAGGAAGCUUCUAAAAGGUUUUAAGUAGGAGAGCAAGAUAAAUUUUGUAUUUAAAAAAGUCAUGGGCACCUGGGUGGCUCAGUGGGUUAAGCCUCUGUCUUCGGCUCAGUCAUGAUCUCAGGGUCCUGGGAUCGAGUCCCACAUCGGGCUCUCUGCUUAUUGGGGAGCCUGCUUCCCCCACCCUUGCCUGCCUCUCUGCCUACUAGUGAUCUCUCUCUCUGUCAAAUAAGUAAAUAAAUUCUUUUAAAAAAAAAAACAAAAAAAAAAGUCAUGAUGCAGGGCGCCUGGGUGAUGCCAUGAGUUAAGUGGCUGACUCUUGGUUUCGGCUCAGGUUGUCACUUCAGAGUCCUGAGUUUGAGCCCCACAUCGGCUCUGUGCUGAGCAUGGCAUGUGCUUAAGACUCUCUCUCCCUCUGCCCCUCCCCCCACAUAAAUAAAUCUUAAAACAACAACAACAAAAAAACACAACCAGUCAUGAUGCACUAUGUAAAGAAUGGAUUGAAUGGAUUGAAAGGAUGCAAGAAUGAAUGCAGAGAGACCAGAUGGACAUUAUUGCAGUAGUUCAGGCAAAAGUGAGGAUAGAUUGGGCUGGGUUGAUAAUGGGGAUGGUGAGAAAUAAGUAAAUUCAAAAUAUAUGUUAGAGGUAAAAUGGGACUUAGUGAUAGAAUAAAUGAGGGGGUGGAGAAGGUAGAUUGCACAACCGAGUGGCUGGUGGGGUCAUUCACUGAAACGCAGGAGAUUUGCCAAAGGAGAGUCAAAGGAGCAAUAGGUACGCUUUCAGAGGGUAAGUAUGAGAUGCCUGAAUAUGAGACAUGUAAAGGGAUAUGCCAAAAAAGCAGCUGAAUAUAGACAGAGGUAUGGAUUUCAGAAGAGAGGUCUGGGCUAGAAAAAUAAGAGUCAUGAACACACAGAUUGUAUGUAAAGCCAUAAGAAUUAAUAAGAGAGCCUACGGAGAGAUUGUACCAUGAGAUGAAAAGAGGAUUACAGAUGAUGUGGAGCUGAGAAAAAAUUCGUUAAAUUGGAGAUAAUAAGAAUAUGAAACUGAGAAGCCAUAUGGACCUUAAUGUUACCCAGGAGAAUGGCGGAAGUAGAGGAGGAGAGGAAGGCUGUGAGCCAGGUGCUUGUUAAAGAAUGAGGAAAACGACCAAGAGUUUGAAGGAAAAUUGCAUUGGGAGGGGAGAAAAGAUGAGUGGAUGAAUGAUAUAAACCUCAGAAAGAGAUUUUACAAGAAGGAGAAGGAGUAAUGAGAGACAGCCUAAAUAUCUCAACUAUCUACUGUUUUAGGUACGAGGAUCUUCAGGAAUGUCUUUAGAAUGUUCAGGUUAAAUAGGCUCAAAGAAAUUGUACCACUGCUGUUCCAAAAUAAGCCAGUCCCCUGGGGCUUAAAGCAGGGGAGGUGAGGGUGUGGGAAGGUGAAGCUGUGGCAAGGUGGCAUGGAAUGAGAGUGGGAACAAAGUGGGUCAUAGGAGAAUGAACUAACACCGACGCAGAAGGGACGAAAGGAGGAACAGCUUGAGGAAACAUCUAACAUAGCUGGAGAUUGAGUUUAGCCAAUUAGCCAAACAUGCUUAUGUAACAAAAUCCCAGUAAAGUCUCUGGACUCUGGGGUGCCUGGGUGGCUCAGUGGGUUAAGCCUCUGCCUUCGGCUCGGGUCAUGAUCUCAGGGCCCUAGGAUCAAGCCCUGCAUCGGGCUCUCUGCUAGGCGGGGAACCUGUUUCUCCCUCUCUCUCUGCCUGCCUCUCUGCCUACUUGUGACCUUUGUCUUUCUGUCAAAUAAAUAAAAAUCUU